UACGAAGGGGGCUAGCGUUGUUCGGAAUCACUGGGCGUAAAGCGCACGUAGGCGGACUUUCAAGUCAGGGGUGAAAUCCCGGAGCUCAACUUCGGAAUUGCCUUUGAUACUGUUGGUCUCGAGUCCGGAAGAGGUGGGUGGAAUUCCUAGUGUAGAGGUGAAAUUCGUAGAUAUUAGGAAGAACACCGGUGGCGAAGGCGGCAUUCUGGACCGAAACUGACGCUGAGGCGCGAAAGCCAGGGGAGCAAACGGG
rnacentral:rRNA from 1 species